GUGCCAGCAGCCGCGGUAAUACGUAGGUGGCAAGCGUUGUCCGGAUUUACUGGGCGUAAAGAGCGCGCAGGCGGUCGUGCAAGUCGCGUGUGAAAGCCCCCGGCUCAACUGGGGAGGGUCACGCGAUACUGCUCGACUCGAAGGCAGGAGAGGGUAGCAGAAUUCACGGUGUAGCAGUGAAAUGCGUAGAUAUCGUGAGGAAUACCAGAGGCGAAGGCGGCUACCUGGACAAUUGCUGACGCUCAGGCGCGAAAGCGUGGGGAGCGAACAGGAUUAGAUACCCUGGUAGUCC
rnacentral:rRNA from 1 species